rnacentral:rRNA from 1 species
UACGGGGGGGGCAAGCGUUGUUCGGAAUUACUGGGCGUAAAGGGCUCGUAGGUGGCCAACUAAGUCAGACGUGAAAUCCCUCGGCUUAACCGGGGAACUGCGUCUGAUACUGCAUGGCUAGAGUACGGCAGAGGGGGAUGGAAUUCCGCGUGUAGCAGUGAAAUGCGUAGAUAUGCGGAGGAACACCGAUGGCGAAGGCAAUCCCCUGGGCCUGUACUGACGCUCAUGCACGAAAGCGUGGGGAGCAAACAGG